rnacentral:tRNA from 1 species
GGGGCUAUAGCUCAGCCGGUUAGAGCGCAUCCCUGAUAAGGAUGAGGCCGUUGGUUCGAGUCCAACUAGCCCCA